AAACUCACCUGGCAGGAGAGUCACUUUGAUGCUUUUAUCAGAUUUUUUUUUAAACUGAUGGUGUGGAGGAUCACCUUUGAACUUUGGGUGUGUAGUCUCUACCAACUAUUCCUCAAUAUGGUAAACUUGAAUGCAUAAUUUGUGGUAUUGAGAGACUGUAUUUGUAUUCAUUUAAA
rnacentral:snRNA from 1 species